rnacentral:lncRNA from 1 species
GUACCAAGGAUCAAACUUGGGUCCUUGUGCGCGCAGCAGACAGUGAAACCACUGAACUACAUCCCUGGCCAAGGCCAAGUUCUUUAAAGGGGUUGUAACCCCCACUCCGGAGUCCUUGAAGUCUGAUGAGCCCUUCUCUGUGAAAGCCCGCUGCACAAAAUCCAGGCCCCAAAACAAAGAGCUGAGGCUGGCACAGUGGUGCUCACCUGUAACCUCAGCUCUCAGGUGGCCAAGACAAGAAGACCAAGGGAAGCUCAAGGUCAGCCUGGACUACACAGUAAGACCUUGUCUAAAACAGUAGAAAUGAACAGGCUGGGCGUGAUGGCACGCGCUGGUGACCCAGCACUCGGGAGGCUGAAGCAGGAGAAUGGCCCUGAGUUCAAGGCCAGCCUGAACUAGACAAUGAGACCCCUGUCUCAACACAGGCGCGCGCACAGAACAAAAAGGAACAGCACAAGUACUGCCCCACACCCAAGAGCCACAAGGAGGGCUCCAAGGAUCCACCUGCACUACCCCCAGUGGCCACUAUGGAGCACCCAAGAGCCACCUUGAAGCUCCCAACCCACUUCAUCCCUCACCCUAACUGGAAGUUGGGGAAGGGGGCCACAGGCCAGUGGAAAGAGGAAGUGGGAUGCAGGAGGACCCAGAACUUACAUCACCGUCAGGCUGAGCCUCUACAGCAUCCCAGAACAGCCCCCGACAGACCCACAGCAGCUGCGUCUGCAGGGCAGCCUCUGCCAGGGCCGAGUGCACCUGUGUCCCCCAGAAUGGGUUCGUGCCCCCACAUGGCUUAUUUACCUUAACUGCCAACACCACAGUGAGGUCACAAAACUGGCUUUGCACCCUCUUCUGCCUCUUCAGCUGUGACCCAGAACAAAUUACUUAGCUCCCUCUUCCUUCUAGCUGUAAAGUGGGGUGAUUGUAAGAGGGCCACCCAGCAGGCUGGGAUUGUCUGCAUCCAGCAGGGUCACACACACCCAGAAAAGGUAUAGCUGGCAGAAGGGGGCCAGCAACCCAGCCUCGCCAUCAUCACCAUCACCAGGUCACCGUCAGCAGAACUG